GACGAACGCUGGCGGCGUGCUUAACACAUGCAAGUCGAACGGUGAAAGGGAGCUUGCUCCCUGGAUCAGUGGCGAACGGGUGAGUAACACGUGGGCAACCUGCCCCAGACUUCGGGAUAACGCUUCGAAAGAGGUGCUAAUACCGGAUACGAACUCCUUGGGCAUCCUUGGAGUUGGAAAGUUUUUCGGUCUGGGAUGGGCCCGCGGCCUAUCAGCUUGUUGGUGAGGUAACGGCUCACCAAGGCGACGAAGGGUAGCCGGCCUGAGAGGGCGACCGGCCACACUGGGACUGAAGCACGGCCCAGACUCCUACGGGGGGCAGCAGUGGGGAAGAUUGCGCAAUGGGCGAAAGCCUGACGCAGCAACGCCGCGUGAGGGAUGACGGCCUUCGGGUUGUAAACCUCUUUCAGCAGGGAAGAAGCGAAAGUGACGGUACCUGCAGAAGAAGCACCGGCUAACUACGUGCCAGCCGCCGCCGUAA
rnacentral:rRNA from 1 species